rnacentral:rRNA from 1 species
UACGUAGGGUGCGAGCGUUGUCCGGAAUUACUGGGCGUAAAGAGCUCGUAGGUGGUUUGUCGCGUUGUUCGUGAAAACUCACAGCUUAACUGUGGGCGUGCGGGCGAUACGGGCAGACUGGAGUACUGCAGGGGAGACUGGAAUUCCUGGUGUAGCGGUGGAAUGCGCAGAUAUCAGGAGGAACACCGGUGGCGAAGGCAGCUCGCUGGGACGGUACUGACGCUGAGGCGCGAAAGCGUGGGGAGCAAACAGG